GACGAACGCUGGCGGCGUGCUUAACACAUGCAAGUCGAACGAAGUGGCGAACGGGUGAGUAACGCGUAAUCAACCUGCCCUUCAGAGGGGGACAACAGUUGGAAACGACUGCUAAUACCGCAUACUGUAGGAGGGGAUUGCGUCUGAUUGGCUAGUUGGAGGGGUAACGGCCCACCAAGGCGAUGGUCAGGAGCCGGUCUGAAGGGAUGGACCGCCACAUUUGGACUGAGACACGGCCCAGACUUCUACGGGAGGCAGCAGUGGGGAAACUUCCGCAAUGGGCGGAAGGCUGACGGAGCAACGCCGCGGGAGUGAUGACGGCCUUCGGGUUGGAAAGCUCUGUUAAGCGGGACGCGGUACCUGAAUAGAAAGCCACGGCUAACUACGUGCCAGCAGCCGCGGUAAUUC
rnacentral:rRNA from 1 species